UUCAAGGAUAGUCGUGAAUUUAGUGUUCAACGUUUUACGUGUAACUUUAUUUUAUUAUUAUUAGAUGAUAAAACAUUAAUAAAAAUUUUAUGUGUGACUUAUAUAUUUUUUAUUUGUUUCAUAAAUUUUUCAAAUAAGUUGGACAGUCAAACGUUGGACGCUGAAACUAACAGCAACAUUUAAA
rnacentral:pre_miRNA from 1 species